GAAUGGCUCAUUAAAUCAGUUAUCGUUUAUUUGAUAGUACCUUACUACAUGGAUAACCGUGGUAAUUCUAGAGCUAAUACAUGCUAAAAACCUCGACUUCGGAAGGGGUGUAUUUAUUAGAUAAAAAACCAAUGCCCUUCGGGGCUCCCUGGUGAUUCAUAAUAACUUAACGAAUCGCAUGGCCUUGUGCCGGCGAUGGUUCAUUCAAAU
rnacentral:rRNA from 1 species